GUUGGCGUCUCACCCGGUGCGGCACCGCUGGGUCCACAGCGAUACCCUCCCUGCUCUUCUCGUCGAUCACCAGCCCCGGCUCCGGAUGUGUACACUUGUGCGCUAGUCCAACAAGCAAAUCACAGAAAAGUACUCGCUAUCCCAGAGACCUCUGCAAAGCGAGAGCACGGAGUCUGCGGGUUCAACCAAAGAGAUCCGGGUGCUUCCACAGCUGCAAAGGGUGCAGGAGUUCCGGUGUGAAGCUGAUGAAAUAUUCAACAGCAGAGAUGGCAUCAUCUCAGGGUCCGCCCCCCAACCCCACCCCCACCCGUGAUGGAUGCUCAGUCC